rnacentral:rRNA from 1 species
UACGUAGGGGGCAAGCGUUGUCCGGAAUCAUUGGGCGUAAAGCGCGCGUAGGCGGCCCGGUAAGUCCGCUGUAAAAGUCCAGGGCUCAACCCUGGAAAGCCGGUGGAUACUGUCGGGCUAGAGUCCGGAAGAGGCGAGUGGAAUUCCUGGUGUAGCGGUGGAAUGCGCAGAUAUCAGGAGGAACACCGGUGGUGUAGACGGCUUUCUGGACCGUAACUGACGCUGAGACACGAAAGCGUGGGUAGCAAACAGG